rnacentral:tmRNA from 2 species
GGGGCCGUUUAGGAUUCGACGCCGGUUGCGAAACUUUAGGUGCAUGCCGAGUUGGUAACAGAACUCGUAAAUCCACUGUUGCAACUUCUAUAGUUGCCAAUGACGAUAAAUACGGCCAGGAAUUCGCUAUCGCUGCGUAAGCAGCCUUAGAUCCUGAGCUUCUGGUACCUUCGGGUCCAGCAAUCAUUAGGGGAUGUCCGUAAACCCAAAGUGAUUGUCAUAUAGAACGGAAUCGCCGUGCAGUACGUUGUGGACGAAGCGGCUAAAACUUACACAACUCGCCCAAAGCACCCUGCCCGUCGGGUCGCUGAGGGUUAACUUAAUAGACACGGCUACGCAUGUAGUACCGACAGCAGAGUACUGGCGGACGGGGGUUCAAAUCCCCCCGGCUCCACCA